AGGUUGGGCAGCAGGGCAGGUGCCAUCUGGAGCAGACAGGAGAGCCAGAGCUUUAAUCCACCUGCCUGUGAAACCCAUCCAGCUCUGGGAGACCUGAGCCAAGCCUGGUGACAGAACCAAAGGUCCCAGGGAAGCAUCCAGUACUUCCAGUUAGUGCGUUCCUCCUGACAGACAGGAAGACAUCCAGUGAACACCAUCCCACAGUGCAUGCCAGCCAACAGCUCUUUCUUGGAGCAGCUGCCAAAUAAAGAGAAACUUGGAACAGGCUGCUCACUAAGGAAGACAGGAAGCUCCGUGUCAAUAGCAGAAACUGAGGUGGUGCCCUGGCUUCCCCCUAGUCCUUCAUGGUACAGCGAAACCUCUUAGCCUCAGAGUCUAACUGUCACAGCCCUGAGCAUGCCUCCCAGCUCUCAGCAUUUAAGUUCUCUUACCAACCACCUACAGAGUCUGUGCAGACUGCGCGCAUGCCUUUGGUCUCUUGGUGGAGACUCAAUCACCAUUUGUUCGAGAAAUGCCUUUGCCUUUGGGGACUAAGUAACUAGACAUAGCAUAAUGACAUUUUCCCUCUUAUUGGUUAUUACCAAGAUUCUAAGAUCGCUCUUACGUGUGUCUCAACGCGUUAGCAUUAAAAGGACCGGUCAUAGUAGGAAGCAUUUGCAUGGUACAGCUGUUCUUUAAUAGACCUAUCCCAGCGAGUGUGCAGUUACGUAUUUGUGCACUGC